GAUCUAUAUCUCGGAAGAAAAAAAACAAAAAGAAAAGAAAGGAAAGAAAAGAAAAGAAAAAAAAAAGAAAAGAUAAGGAAUAAAUAAACAAUCGAGAAUAUUUUCGAAAGCAUUAGCGAAUCUUCUUGAAUAAUUUCAAAUCUUGUACGAGGUUAACACUAUCGAUCGUGGUGUGUUUUGGAAAAUCGAACCAUCUUCUUAGCCAAGUAUCAGCCCCGAUGGCAUAAACCGAUAAUACCAGGGCGUAAUUUACAACGUAAGUACCUUGUCUUGUUACAUUAGAGAGAGUGAGAGAGAGAGAGAGAGAGAGAGAGAGAGAGAGAGAAAGAGAGAGAGAGAGAGACAGACUUGGUAAGGUUGUGUGUAUUCUUGAAAGGAGCUUGAUGUAUAAGUAACAACACCUUCUGGCAAUGUGUUUCACUUGUAAAUAACUUAACCACAACGACGACGACGACGACGACGACGUCGAGGACGUCGAGAAUGGAACGUUUUACCAGAUAAUUUGCCAAGAAGAGAAUCUAAAACCGAUCAUUUCUAUAUUCAUUCGAGGAUAACUCCAUCUUUUUCUUGCGUGGGUAUCCUCGUAAAUAAUUAUUUGAUCCUUCUCUCAUUUUUUGUUUUGUUUUUUAUGUAGAAAAAGAAAAAAACGAAAAGAAGAAGAAGAAUGAAUGAAUAAGUACACGAGUAUAUUAUACAUAUGUCCGGGUAUAUAAAAUACAAGUAUAUAAAAUAAUAAAAAUUAUUUUAUAUUAUAUGUUUGUACAUCAAUCUAACGAAAUGUUAUAUAACAGAAUAGAAUUUUCGAGGUAAAUGUAAGUGCUAUUAACUACGUAAAUGUUUGUGUGUGUGUGUGUGUAUGUGCGAGAGGACAUAGUCUAGGUCAUAAUUUAUGUUAUAACGUUUAUAGAAUCGAUCAUAAGAAUUAGUAAACAUUCCUAUUUGUUGUUUCCUUUGUCUUUAUAACAGAGAAAAGGUCCUAUCUUCAGUUCGGUUUAAACUAUCGUCUCAUCAACACGUACAUAUAUCAUUUGUCUUUAAAUAUAAAAGUUAUAGGUUUGUUCGAUGGUAUAUAUGUUUAAUAAAUUUCGAUAAUAUAGUCGUUUUAUUCAUUUCUUGAUGUAUUUCGAUAAAUUCAGAAAAAAUAUUUUAAGUAUAAAUUGGAAUAAAUCCAAAGAAAAAGUUCGAAGCUUCAGUUCGUUUUGGAUACUCGUUUCGUUAACGCGUAUAUAAUUUAUCGUCUACAAAUAUAAGAGUUGUAGAACUAUUCGAUGCGAUUGUUGAAAAGUGCAACUUAAUUUUCACAACCCGAUAAAACUCGAUUGGUAGAAGAGGAAAGUUCUUUUUUACGAUGUUAUGACGUCGAUAAUUGCAUUGCAAAUGAAAGUUACUUUGGAAGAUCCAAGCUCUUUGGUGAAACGACACCUUCUUCAAGGACGACUCCUUGAAACUUUAGAAGAAACAAACUUCAAAGCAAUUUCUUUCACUGGUAUCUUCUCUCUUACGUCACGUGAUCAGUCCAAUGAAUGGCCGCAAGCGACAUGAGCAAUGCAAUUAAGGAUCCAUCGAGCCGCGGCCAAUAUUCCUCCUCGAUCAACGCAUACAUAUCGAGUUACUAUGAUUUACAAGGAUCCCUGAGCAUAUCCUUUGAUAUCGUUCGUGAAUUUUUUAUGAUCUUUUUAACGGUUCCAUAAUCAAACAUUGGUCACUUCAUUUGAAUAAAUGAUCCAUCUACGUGAAUCUAAA